rnacentral:lncRNA from 1 species
AUCCUUUCUAGAUAAAAAUUCCAGCCAAAAUCCCAUCUCCUAAGCAAAGAACAGAAGCCACACCCCCAACAAAAAGACCUUCUUCUUCCUCCAUGAAAGUCUAGCUAUGAACCCCCUGAAAAUAUCUCAAAUUCCAGCUCCAAAAUACCUUUAAACCAGUCAAAAAAUGGCUCCAAAAUCAUUCCAAAAAUGCAAUAGCUGAAAUCACCCAAAAACAACCCCCUAAAAUCCAAAAACUCAGUGAAAACAACAUCAAAGGCUACUCCAUAUCCGCCAAAAACCAGCUAAAGAAACCUAUUUAAAAAUACUUCAAAACUGCCUUCAUUUUUUGAGUCGAGUUUGUCACAUGAUUAUGCUUCGAGUCGAGGUCCUCCGAUGAGUUUUUUCCGUCUAGGUUGCUGAUCGAGUUUCCGGCAAGGCCUAGUUGAAUCGUUGAAAUACAUAAGCUCAAGAACAGAGUGUUGUCUUAGGAGGAGAAUGGUUGUAAAAGCUGAUGCCUUUGCGAUACUCUUCUAAUGGCAAAUAUGUAAGUCUUUCUUCUUCUUAUUUUUCAUAAUUUUCUGGCGUGUAUCUUUAAAAGCUUUAUUUUUUUUAAAUAAUUUUUGUUCUUCUUUAAAGUUUGGAUCCUUUUCACUUAAUUCUUGGCUAAAGUUUGUACUUGUUCCAGAAGUUCUUGUAAAGUCUUGUUAACCGUAAAUGUUUCAAUCUAGCUGCAAGAUCUAAUGUUGAACUUGGUAUUUUUACAAGUCUGAUUGUACUAUUCUUUACCUAAUUGCUCCAUUUUCCUUUUCUUUCUUUUAUCAUUUGGUUUCCAUAAAUAUGCAAAUUGUGUGUCCAAAGAGAAAUUUUUGGUGGUGGGUUUUGGACGAAAAUUUUGGGGAAAAUGAAUUUUUUAUGUUAGAAAAUUUAAUUCGCCAAAGUAUAAUUACAAAAGAUAAAUCACAUUAUCUCUACCACGUUAAUCAGCCAUAAUUCAUGGCUUCACUCUCAUCUCAAAUCUUAGGAAUAAUUGAAAUAUGAAUAUUCGUAGUUUGCUUUAGGCGCGAUUAAAUAAAUCAUCGUGACUAUGAGUACGAUUGUUGUGGCAUGGUCACGAUACGUAAUCCCCAAUUCGGGUGUGCAUUUCAUGUGACCCGAUCGUAACAACUUUGAACAUUAAUAAAAUAAACAUAUCACGAACCGCGAGUCCAUUUCAUGUAGCGUGAUUUGCGGUGUGUUCCAAAACGGCAAGUGUACGACCAUCGUAACUUGUUCAAGAAAUAAUUCCAUAAAUUCUAAAAGCGGUUUAAAAUAAUUAAAUGCGGUUAUAAAGUUAAAAAUGCAUAAUAGGUUUAAAACAUGUAAUUUUACAGAUAAUUAGGCCAAUUAUUAAUAGUUAAGAGACCAUGCUAAAACCACGGAACCUAGGAAGGCCUAACACCUUCUCCCGGGUUAACAGAAUUCCUUACCCAGAUUUCUGUGUUCGCAAACCAUAAAUAAGAGUUAAUUUCCUCGAUUUGGGAUUUUACAAUAAACCGAUGACUUAGGACACCAUAAAUAUCCUAAGUGGCGAAUCUGAAAAUAAAAUAUUCUCAUUUCUAUUAAUGUCACUUAAAUUGGAUAAACUCCCCUAUAUACCCUUUUCCGGGUAUAAAAAGGAGGUGUGACAGCUCUAGCGACUUCACUAGGUAUUGACAACCCAGAAUCUCUGGUUCAAGGUUCAGAAUUCGAGUUUAGAAUAGCUGUUAUGAUUGACUUUUAUUUGUUAUCUGAUUUUUACAUGUUUGAGCCUAAUGUGUUAAAUGCCGCUUUUUAGCGCUUUGAUUUUGCUUGAACUGUAUAUAAAUUGUUACGAAACUCUUCUUCUCUCUGAGUCUUCUAAAUCAUCUGGGAAGUGUGCACUUCGUGUGACUUCUUUUCUGUUAGAGUCAUAUCCCAAUUUUAGAACGAGGUUCGUACAAGUUGCAAAGCCGGUGAAGCUUAUGUAUUCCCGGUACGCUGCCCCCCCCCCCUCAACUUGAGAUGUCCGCUCGGGUAAGCCAGGUCUAGAACAAUACCCCUAGGUUUUAAACCUAGAAUAACAUAGCCUCAUGCCGGAUCCCUAGUAGGAACACUUGUUUGCAUCACGUGCAAUUGACUUUGGGGACUCAACACAGGGGUUGGGUCCGUCUAGGACAGGUGUACCCAAAUUAAAAGACCGUCCUGAUGCAUCUUACGUGCUACUUGCGUAUCUGUCUGUUUCAGCUUGCAUGUUGACUGGCUUCUAGAAUAGGGAAAGAAAAUGCAAAAAAAAAGAAAAAAAAAAUUAAAAAAAAUCAAGAGUGAGAGGUAGGUAUUUGAAAUUUCUGAAACUCUCCCGAAAUUCCAAAAAAAAAAGAAGAAAAAAACCAAUGUUUUCAAAAGUCAUAUUUCCCUGUUCCGUCAAAUAUGGACGAACUACGCGGGUCUGAUUCUCACCGGAUGUGAGAUACAUAGGCAAACCUCAUUGGUUCCGGCCCACAAUUUUCAAAAAAUCCAAAAAUAUUUUCAUUUACUUCCUUUUUUAGAAAAGUCUUUCUUUAAGACCCCAAUUUUUAAAAAUUUAAAAAUAUUUUCCUUUAAUUCCUUUUUAGUAAUGUCUUUCUUUGAGACCCCAAUUUUAAAAAAAUCCAAAAUAUUUUCUCUAGAAGUUUUUCUUUCGAAAAUUAAAAAGAAAAUUCAAGAUUCAAAAAUAUUAUUUUUAGAAGUCUUUUUUUUUAUUUAUAAUUUUAACAUAAAAGUCCAAAAAUUCAAAAAUAUUCUCUUUCUUCUUUAGAAGUUUUUCUUUCGAAAUUCCCAAAAAAAGUCGAAAUCAAAAAAUAUUUUCUUUCUUCUUUAUAAGUCUUUCUUCCAGAAAUUAAAAAAAAAAAUUAAAAUCCAAAAAAAAAUAGUUUAUUUACUCUAUUCAUGAUCUUCCCGAACUAUGCAAGAUUUGAUUCAUGUUCCCCACAUGAUACAUAGGCAACCCACAUCAGGUUCGAUCAAAUGAUUUUGAGAAAAAAAGGAAAACAGAAGGUGAAAAAAAAGGAAAAAAAGAAGGAAGAAUGAUAAUAAUAAGGACCGACUGAGCCCACUCUAACAUGUCUUUUGUUUCAAAUUGUGAAGAAAGUUUGAGGUGAUCGGUUUGUGGUAAGCUGACAACACAAAAUCCAAAGUGAAAAUGACAACUGACAUCGAAGCUGUUGCAAGCAGUCAGAGACUCAAGGUCAGAGGGUUCAACAAUAGUCUAUUGUGGUUGAGGAAAAUAGAGUACUGAAACAAAAAAUGACUAAAUUGUGUCAAGCAUGGGCCAACGGCUAAGGACCGCCCUUUUCUUCUCAUGGUUUUCCAGAGUUCACACCCAUCUCGACUAAUGCCAUUCCGGUCUCAUUGUCUGAUCAAUCCUAUCCACCUAGGUUCAGUCAUUAUCCCAACUGUACGACUACAACUGGAACUUCUGUUUCAUGCUCUCAAAGUUUGUCAUUGACAACCAAUCAGACAACCUCUACUGUUAUGCCCGUCUUCACCAUCCCACAGCCGACGGUGGUGUAGAGGAAAACUCAUAAGUCACAAUUUGCUACCCAACAAGAGCAGUACCACUCGUACUUAUUUAAUCUUCCUGCAAACAUUGAGAAUCCCGCCCGAAAGAUGGCACAGGAAGAAAUGACCCAAAAAGUGAAAAGCUUAGAAUAACAGUUGAAAAACAUGCAAGGGUUGGCUGGUCAGAAGAGCAUUGCCUUCAAGGAUUUAUGUUUGUUCCCCGAUGUCCACUUGCCACCUGGUUUCAAGACUCCCAAAUUUGAAAAGUACGAUGGACACGGAGAUCCCAUAGUCCACCUGAAAAGCUAUUGCAAUCAGCUAAGAGCUGUGGGAAGAAAUGAAGAAUUACUAAUAGCUUAUUUUGGGGAAAGCCUUACGGGAACAACAUCCGAAUGGUUUUUGGAUCAAGACACAUCUCGUUGGUACGUCUGGGAUGACAUGGCACAAGCCUUCGUCAAACAGUUCCAAUACAACAUUGACAUUNNNNNNNNNNNNNNNNNNNNNNNNNNNNNNNNNNNNNNNNNNNNNNNNNNNNNNNNNNNNNNNNNNNNNNNNNNNNNNNNNNNNNNNNNNNNNNNNNNNNNNNNNNNNNNNNNNNNNNNNNNNNNNNNNNNNNNNNNNNNNNNNNNNNNNNNNNNNNNNNNNNNNGAAUGGCCUUAAGACAGGCAGAAUUAUAAGUCAAGCAGCUCUCAAAGCUGCAACUCAGGCUGUCCAAAUUGAAUCUAGUGACACGAAUGAGAAGGUUGAAGAAAUCAUGAUGACAUCAGGGUCGAGAACAGGUCCUAGGAGAACAUCUCGAAGGUAUGAGCAACCUCCUCAGGUUUUCCAUGACUCCCCUGAGCACUAUUAUCCACCUCAGAACCCUCAAUACUCUAUUACUGCAUCUUAGUAUAUUGCCCGACCACCAAGACACCCCAGAAGGCGAGCACUAGCAUCGCAAAAUCUCCACCAGCCUCCACAAAAUUUUUAGGCGCCCUAUAAUCCACAUCCAAGCCAGAGGUAUAAAGGGGAACAAAGGUUGAAAGAUAAUUUUACACCAAUAGGAGAGUCCUAUGCAAGUUUAUUUGAGAAGUUAAAGCAUUAUGACAUGAUUGCACUCAUUCCUCCAAAUCACAUGGACCCACGUGCAAGAAACUUCGACCCUUCUAAAAGGUGUGAAUACCAUUCUAAUGCUCAAAAGCACAAUGUUGAAAGCUAUCGGGAUUUGAAAAGAGAAAUAGAAAGGAUGAUCCAGGAAAAACUGAUUGUGAUCCAAGACAGUGACACCCAGAAUAUCGUGCAGAAUCCUUUACCUGCACAUGAUGAUGCACACUUUAUGGGGAUGAUACCUGGUGACAUGGAGUAUGAGAAUCCUCUCGGAAACUUGCUGACUUAAAUUGGAGAAGGCCAUGGUGAUUCUGAUGAGCAGAUCUAUGACUAAAUGUCAAGCUUAGCAAUUGAAAAGUCAUUUUCUCCUCACUAGGAAGGAGUCUUGGUAGUUUGUUUUGAUAUUUUUUCUAUUAUGUGGGUUAUUUCAGGGUCGUGACCCAGAUUCUAUUUGUUUUAUUGAGUCAAACCCUUCUAUCCCUCCAUUCUAUUUAUGUUAGUUUUGUCUAUCUGUUCUGUUGCUAUUUUCAUUCGCCGAGUUGUUUUAGGGCUAUAACUCGGAUUUUAGGUUGUUUCUCUUAUUUUCAAACCCUUUCAUCAUUUACUCAAUGAAAUACAGUUUGUCCUUUUGUGCAUUAUGUUCUUAGUUUUUUUCUCGCUAGUUCUAGUGACAUUACAUGCAUGCGGAAUUUUUGUCCAGAUCAUAGAAAAUUGAUUUAGUCUUGAAUUGGAUAAGUAAGAAGGAGGCACUUUUGAAGAUGAAUAGAGACAUAAAACAGUUGAAAAAUAAGCAUAAGCCAAUUUUAUAUGGAACAAAAACAGUUAUGCUCAUGGAAGUGAAGGAUCUCUACCUUUUGAAUUAUUGAGAAGAUCGGGUUUAAGGAUAAUCGGACGAGUUAAAAUCUGUUUAGCACUAAUAGAUAGAAAGUGUUUUUCAAUAGAAGGUGUAUUCCAGACAACGUGAAAUGGAUUAGUUAGUGGCAAAAUACAUCUUCUACAUCAAGAAAAAAUUUAAGAAAAUUCAACCAAAUUGACAAGGGUCAUUCACAGCGAGGAAAGUAUUGCUCAUACAGCUUUAUACUGAAAAGACCCAAGAAAACAGGCAUGUUCAUCAAUGAUGUGAUUGCGAAAGGAUAUUAAUUGGCGUUCUCGAGGCUGAGAGGCCCUUUUUAUGUUAUCCAAACACUUUAUAUCCUUUGUUACCCCUUUUGAGUUUGUGUUAUUUUCUUUGACCACCCUCUUUUGGAAUCAAGUUUAAAGUCAAGAGUCAAAAAAAAAAGUUAAUGUUCCAAGAGUACAAACUGGGGUAAUUCUUAGAAAGUUCAAAAACAAUGAAGAAAAAAAGAACUGUCAAAGGUCCAUGCUCCCAGAAAAUGGAAGCUGGGGCAACUUGUUUUGAAAACAAAAAGAAAAAAGAAAGGAAAAAUAAAAAGAAAAAGAAAGAAAGAUGAAAAAAAGUAGUUAGGUCAGAUGUUUGAACUAUAUUAGACCUGAUUCCUUUAAAAUAAAGAUACGUAGGUAGCCUCACGGUUCGGUCCAACCAAAUAAGAAUUUAGGAGAAAAAGAAAAAAAAAUAGAAAAAUUCAAAAAUCCCCAGUAUUUGAAACUGGGGCAACGAUUUUAUUUUAUUUUUGAAAGAGUCGAUUCCAAGAGUUGUAAGUCUACAAUUCCUCAUUUUGAGUUUAUUUUGAGCCUUCAUGUCAACCCUUCAAUUCAACCCUAUCCAAAAAUCUUCCAAAUAAAGGUCUCCCGAAAUUCUUUCAAGAAUGCCAAGAGAAGCGUGUAAUGAGCAAUGGUUGUCACGCGACAUAGAACACUGUCAAGUUGCUCACAAAAGAAAAAGAAAAAGAACAAGAAAACUGAGAGAGCCUUACUAGUGAAAACCUUCACGGGCACUGUAAGGCGAUGGUAAGUAGAGAUAAAUAAAUAAGAGAGACUUGUAUGUGAAAAUUCCUCGGGACACCACUAGUCGAAAGUGAGUCGUGAAGCUGAUGCAAAGGAUUGGCACGAGCAAGCCCGACUUCAAAGGUCAUAAGAAUGGUAAAAGGGAAGAUUGGAUUAGUUUGAUAGAUUAGGUCGUUGAGUCCAAAAUGCAUGUCAUGAUCAUUAAGACUAGUAAUGGAAAAAAAAUAAAAAGUGAAAACAAAAAAAAGGAAAAAAAACUCUUCCUUCUAUCCUUCUGACGGAGGCAUUUCUUGUUAAUACUUGUUUCGUUUUAUCAUUGUGUCCUUCAAUCUGAGUCAGUUCUUGUCAAAACAAGCAAGAAAAGAUUUCAAAAUCUGCUACCAGCUUUUCAGUUGCACAAAGUAAAUUUUGCCAGCACACUCAGUUGUUACUGUCAACAUGCCUUGAGGAUUCAUGCAAAGGCCCCCCCAAAAGACUCUUGUCAGUCUACUUGGCGCAGGAAAAGAUAACUGGUGAUUUUCUCUUACAGACAAAUUGCUCAAAAAGCAGGAAGUCAUUCAAGAUAUCAGAAAAGGUCACCUAAGAAGAGAUCUCCAGUUGGGAUAAGGCUGAUUGAGCCACAAAUACAAAUGGUACUGGGUGUGAAAUAAUUAGGGUUGAUGUAGAGCAAAAAUCUGUUGAAACCGACUCAAGCUGAUUGAGUGGAAGCCGAGCUGCCCAAGACUCAAGGCCACA